GACGAACGCUGGCGGCGUGUUUAACACAUGCAAGUCGAACGGAAAGGCCCUGCUUUUGUGGGGUGCUCGAGUGGCGAACGGGUGAGUAACACGUGAGUAACCUGCCCUUGACUUUGGGAUAACUUCAGGAAACUGGGGCUAAUACCGGAUAGGAGCUCCUGCUGCAUGGUGGGGGUUGGAAAGUUUCGGCGGUUGGGGAUGGACUCGCGGCUUAUCAGCUUGUUGGUGGGGUAGUGGCUUACCAAGGCUUUGACGGGUAGCCGGCCUGAGAGGGUGACCGGCCACAUUGGGACUGAGAUACGGCUCAGACUCCUACGGGAGGCAGCAGUGGGGAAUAUUGCACAAUGGGCGGAAGCCUGAUGCAGCAACGCCGCGUGCGGGAUGACGGCCUUCGGGUUGUAAACCGCUUUCGCCUGUGACGAAGCGUGAGUGACGGUAAUGGGUAAAGAAGCACCGGCUAACUACGUGCCAGCAGCCGCGGUGAUACGUAGGGUGCGAGCGUUGUCCGGAUUUAUUGGGCGUAAAGGGCUCGUAGGUGGUUGAUCGCGUCGGAAGUGUAAUCUUGGGGCUUAACCCUGAGCGUGCUUUCGAUACGGGUUGACUUGAGGAAGGUAGGGGAGAAUGGAAUUCCUGGUGGAGCGGUGGAAUGCGCAGAUAUCAGGAGGAACACCAGUGGCGAAGGCGGUUCUCUGGGCCUUUCCUGACGCUGAGGAGCGAAAGCGUGGGGAGCGAACAGGCUUAGAUACCCUGGUAGUCCACGCUGUAAACGGUGGGUACUAGGUGUGGGGUCCAUUCCACGGGUUCCGUGCCGUAGCUAACGCUUUAAGUACCCCGCCUGGGGAGUACGGCCGCAAGGCUAAAACUCAAAGGAAUUGACGGGGCCCCGCACAAGCGGCGGAGCAUGCGGAUUAAUUCGAUGCAACGCGUAGAACCUUACCUGGGUUUGACAUGGAUCGGGAGUGCUCAGAGAUGGGUGUGCCUCUUUUGGGGUCGGUUCACAGGUGGUGCAUGGCUGUCGUCAGCUCGUGUCGUGAGAUGUUGGGUUAAGUCCCGCAACGAGCGCAACCCUUGUUCACUGUUGCCAGCACGUUAUGGUGGGGACUCAGUGGAGACCGCCGGGGUCAACUCGGAGGAAGGUGGGGAUGACGUCAAGUCAUCAUGCCCCUUAUGUCCAGGGCUUCACGCAUGCUACAAUGGCUGGUACAGAGAGUGGCGAGCCUGUGAGGGUGAGCGAAUCUCGGAAAGCCGGUCUCAGUUCGGAUUGGGGUCUGCAACUCGACCUCAUGAAGUCGGAGUCGCUAGUAAUCGCAGAUCAGCAACGCUGCGGUGAAUACGUUCCCGGGGCU
rnacentral:rRNA from 1 species